GGGUGGACUUCUUCUCGUGGGGGAGGGGGGAGCCCAACAGCCCCCUCGAAAAAUGCACUGUCCUGUUCAAAGGCUACCAGUGGAGCUGGGCUGACGUAGACUGCAUCAAGUCAGACUACUAUUACCUCUGCGAGAGAGAGAUACUCCCAGCUUCCCUGAACUGAAGAGCCAUCGCACUGCUGUAACUCCAUCAACUCAUUAGCCUCUGGCAUCAAGACUGCACCAGCCAUCAAAUUAUUAGCCUCUGGCAUCAAGACUGCACCAGCCAUCAAAUUAUUAGCCUCUGGCAUCAAAACUGCACCAGCCAUCAAAUUAUUAGCCUCUGACAUCAAGACUGCACCAGCCAUCAAAUUAUUAGCCUCUGACAUCAAGACUGCACCAGCCAUCAAAUUAUUCGCCCCUUACGUCAUCAAUAAAUAACACAAGUACCAAAUCUAUUCGCAGUGUGCCCAAUGAAGUUCCAAGACUCCUAUCUUAUUAUUUCAGACAAUGGUUCUUCUCAUCUCAAAUGUGUUAAUUAGCUUUUUGCCAAGCUACUGAAGUUCGUCGAAUUUGUCAUUCAAUAUUGAUGAAUCUUAGAUGCAUCGAUCUAUUUUGUCUCUCAUAUUAUCUACGCCUUCACAAGCUAUAACCAUUCGCAAGUUCGAGAUUGAAAUGCUUUAGUUCCUCCUAGAAAUGUUUCUUUGACAGUUCAAUGAAAACAUAAAAUGUCGGUAGACUAAAUAAUUUGUCCAUGACAUUUCCUCGCUCCGACUCGCGUUUCCGUUUCAGAUGAAAUGAGAACAUUAGAUAAAAACAUGAUCUAUAAUGUUUGAUAUACACGCAUAAAUGAAUAUUAAGUCUGAGCAAUACUAUCAUAUUCAUGAAUUUUUUGCUGAACAAUAUAAAAAAACUGGAACUUAAAACUAGAUUUAUUAGUGACGGUUUGAAAAAGACUUUCUUUUAUUAAUUUGCUUCAUUGAAAGAAUUAUCAGAAAUGCUUGAUAGAUAAUUUCAUGAAGAGAUUCUUAACUUUCAUGUAUCGUCCAUACCAAACAACACUGGAUUAAUGAUCAAGUUGUCAUUGUAUGCGGUCACGAUCAAUAAUAAUCAAAUUAUCAUUGUAUGCGGUCACGAUCAAUAAUGAUCAAAUUAUCAUUGUAUGCGGUCACGAUCAAUAAUGAUCAAAUUAUCAUUGUAUGCGGUCACGAUCAAUAAUGAUCAAAUUAUCAUUGUAUGUGG
rnacentral:lncRNA from 1 species